rnacentral:misc_RNA from 1 species
UACGGAGGGUGCAAACGUUAAUCGGAAUUACUGGGCGUAAAGCGCGCGUAGGCGGUUCGACAAGUGGGAUGUGAAAGCCCUGGGCUCAACCUGGGAACUGCAUUCCAAACUAUCGGGCUAGAGUAUGGUAGAGGGAGGUGGAAUUUCCUGUGUAGCGGUGAAAUGCGUAGAUAUAGGAAGGAACACCAGUGGCGAAGGCGGCCUCCUGGACCAAUACUGACGCUGAGGUGCGAAAGCGUGGGGAGCAAACAGG